rnacentral:tRNA from 1 species
AUUUUACUUUUAUUAGAA